AGGCCCACAAAAAUGAUGCUGCACAAAAUUGCCUCCGCCGGGUCAUCCGAUUGUCCUGCUUGUUGGCAAAUUCGUGGAGGCUUUCCCGGUGGUUAUAAUGAUGAUGGUUCUGACAAACCCUGGUGGAUAAACAUCUUCAUCUUCGUCGAUGGACAAACCAAUUGAGUCAACAUGGUCGAAAAAUAUCCUCAAGGGAGUACAUCCAGCUGGCUCACGGUAGCGAAAGUGACGGAUGAUGAAAGGAACGACCUGGAGGAAACCAUAACCGAGAAACAAACUAGGUUGAUUCGAUUCUUCAGUUAAGUCACAAAACUGUUGGACAUCGAUCGUUUAGCCCGGUUGACGAUUGAGGACAAACAGCAUGAACAUAGGAAAUAGUUAUUGACAAAUCAGUGGGUCGCCUCCGGCAAGUAUGUCCAGGGAUUCGCGACUGAUUCGAUGAAUUAACGGAUUACUUAUAGAAAGUCUUAUAUCGAGCUAUUUGGCUGCCUACAUCGGCAUACUACAAACAUUGAAUGCAAAUCUCCGCACGAUGGUCAAAAAGAUGAUCAUCUGGUAGCCGUUGCACAUCAGCCAGGAAUCGAUGGCCAAGAGGAAUCGAGCAUCGGGAAAAAAUGUUUGCCCAGACGUCAUUUGUCGUAGUUGGCUCCGCCGACGAUUGUCUCAGGGUGUUUAAAUCCAAAAUGAAAAUCGAAGGCGUGACCCAUUCGAUUGUGGACAGUAUAAUUAUGGAUGAAUUUCCUGAGUUCGCUACCACGUCCUAAACAAAGCAUCAAAAAUCCCAACAUGCAAAAGUCAAAUUUGCUACUGUCGAACAACAGCAGUAAUCUGGCUACGUAUGCUGCAGGUGCAGCCAGUAGUCGCAACCUUAAACAGCUCACAAUCCAAAGAAAAUUGUCAAGCCUAU